ACUGAGCGGCGGACGGGUGAGUAACGCGUGGGUAACCUGCCUCAUACAGGGGGAUAACAGUUGGAAACGGCUGCUAAUACCGCAUAAGCGCACAGUACCGUAUGGUACGGUGUGAAAAACUCCGGUGGUAUGAGAUGGACCCGCGUCUGAUUAGGUAGUUGGUGGGGUAACGGCCUACCAAGCCGACGAUCAGUAGCCGACCUGAGAGGGUGACCGGCCACAUUGGGACUGAGACACGGCCCAA
rnacentral:rRNA from 1 species